CUACGGGGUGCUGCAGUGGGGAAUAUUGCACAAUGGGCGCAAGCCUGAUGCAGCAACGCCGCGUGAAUGAAGAAGGUCUUCGGAUCGUAAAGUUCUUUUCUUAGGGAAGAAAAAUGACGGUACCUAAGGAAUAAGCACCGGCUAAAUACGUGCCAGCAGCCGCGGUAAUACGUAUGGUGCAAGCGUUAUCCGGAAUCACUGGGCGUAAAGGGAGCGUAGGCGGCUUUGCAAGUCAGAAGUGAAAGGCUACGGCUCAACCGUGGUAAGCUUUUGAAACUGCAAGGCUAGAGUGCAGGAGAGGCAAGUGGAAUUCCUAGUGUAGAGGUGAAAUUCGUAGAUAUUAGGAGGAACACCAGUGGCGAAGGCGACUUGCUGGACUGUAACUGACGCUGAGGCUCGAAAGCGUGGGGAGCGAACAGGAUUAGAUACCCCCGUAGUC
rnacentral:rRNA from 1 species